CUGUAAGUCUAUGGGAUCACUUAGCGUGUUGCUCAGCCUCUCAAACACUGUUAACUCAUUAAAUAAAAACCACGUUGGGACGUUCUGAUUGGUUCUCACCUGGUGGGAGGAGCCACUGAAGGCACCCUGGAACAUUAAAAGAUGAAUCCACGAAGAAAAACAGACGCUAGACUGACCUCAGAUCAGAUCAGGACGACAAGAACAGAGAAACGUCCAGAACCUGAAACCUCUUUCACCUCUCUGUUCCUCUCUUUUGCUUUAUGUUCCCCUCGUCUCUCUCUGAGGCCACGCCCUCCUCGCCUUCACCCUCUUUCUGGGAAGAGAAGAAUAUUUUAGGAGUCAGAGUUCCACCCGGCAGAAAAAUGUUCAUUUUUUAGGUUUCAGCAUGAAGCCACAGCUGACUCCAACCAAUCACAAGUGAGGAUCACCUGACUCACUGACUGACGCUGCCUUCCCUUCACCUCGGAGGUCGGAGCUGGGAAUGACGUCACACCCGAGUUCACGGCGUUCCAGUUAACAAGUCGGAAAACCUCGCUCUGCCCGCCGUUGUUUACAGCUACCCAGACCUGCUGCUUCAGCCCAACAUCUCUGUGUCCUCCUCCGUGAACGGGGUCUCCGAGGCCCUGCAGCAGGGGUUUCAGGUGUCCAGGGGCUCCACCUUCACCAUCAGCUGCUCCAUCCAGCCACAGUACCCAGGAGGCUCCUUCCAGCUCGCCUUCACCUCCUCCAUCACAUCACACAACUACACCCAGCCAGCUGUCAAUCACUCUGCCCACUUCCUGUUUCCUGCUGCAGAGCCCGCCCACCAAGGAAGCUACAGCUGUGUUUAUCACCUCCAUGUUUCUUCUCAUGACUUCUCCUCUGAGAGCCGUCGGCUGUCUCUCACUGUCUCAGAUCCAACAGGUCUUCUCAUCAAAGUGGUCGUCCUGCCGCUGACUCUGCUGUUGGUGAUCGCUGCCCUUUGUUUCUACUAUAAGGCCAGCAGGGGGCAGAAGCCGGGCAGGCAGGAGGACAUUGAGCUGGAUUAUUAUAACGGGUGUGUUUCUGCAGCUGAAGGAGGGCCGACUGAAGAGGAAGGAGCUCAGGGAGCAGA